GUUUGAUCCUGGCUCAGGACGAACGCUGGCGGCGUGCCUAACACAUGCAAGUCGAGCGGGGAUAUAGGAAGAGUAAUCCGACUAUAUUCUAGCGGCGGACGGGUGAGUAACGCGUGAGCAACCUGUCCUUGUCUGGGGGACAAGAAGCCGAAAGGCUUUCUAAUACCGCAUGAGACCACAGCAUCACAUGGUGCAGGGGUCAAAGGAGUAAUCCGGACAGGGGUGGGCUCGCGUCUGAUUAGCUAGUUGGUGAGGUAAUGGCUCACCAAGGCAGCGAUCAGUAGCCGACCUGAGAGGGUGAUCGGCCACACUGGAACUGAGACACGGUCCAGACUCCUACGGGAGGCAGCAGUGGGAAUAUUGGGCAAUGGGCGAAAGCCUGACCCAGCAACGCCGCGUGAAGGAAGAAGGCUUUCGGGUCGUAAACUUCUAUCCCAGGUGAAGAUAAUGACGGUAGCCUGGAAGGAAGCCCCGGCUAACUACGUGCCAGCAGCCGCGGUAAUACGUAGGGGGCAAGCGUUGUCCGGAAUGAUUGGGCGUAAAGGGCGCGUAGGCGGCCUUUUAAGUCCGAUGUGAAAGUCCUGCUUUUAAGGUGGGAAUUGCAUUGGAAACUGGAAGGCUUGAGUGCAGGAGAGGUAAGUGGAAUUCCCGGUGUAGCGGUGAAAUGCGUAGAGAUCGGGAGGAACACCAGUGGCGAAGGCGACUUACUGGACUGUAACUGACGCUGAGGCGCGAAAGUGUGGGGAGCAAACAGGAUUAGAUACCCUGGUAGUCCACACUGUAAACGAUGAGUGCUAGGUGUAGGAGGUAUCGACCCCUUCUGUGCCGGAGUAAACACAAUAAGCACUCCGCCUGGGGAGUACGGCCGCAAGGUUGAAACUCAAAGGAAUUGACGGGGGCCCGCACAAGCAGCGGAGCAUGUUGUUUAAUUCGAAGCAACGCGAAGAACCUUACCAGGUCUUGACAUCCAGUAAAAGCAUCAGAGAUGAUGUGUGAGCUUGCUCAUACUGAGACAGGUGGUGCAUGGUUGUCGUCAGCUCGUGUCGAGAGAUGUUGGGUUAAGUCCCGCAACGAGCGCAACCCUUGUGAUUAGUUACUAACGCGUAAUGGCGAGGACUCUAAUAAGACUGCCGGGGGCAACUCGGAGGAAGGUGGGGACGACGUCAAAUCAUCAUGCCCCUUAUGACCUGGGCUACAAACGUGCUACAAUGGCCACUACAGAGAGCUGCGAACUCGCAAGAGCAAGCGAAUCUCACAAAAGUGGUCCCAGUUCGGAUUGUGGGCUGCAACCCGCCCACAUGAAGCCGGAGUUGCUAGUAAUCGCGGAUCAGCAUGCCGCGGUGAAUACGUUCCCGGGCCUUGUACACACCGCCCGUCACACCAUGGGAGUUGAUAGCGCCCGAAGUCGGUGAGGCAACCAGUAAUGGAGUCAGCCGCCGAAGGUGAGAUCAAUGACUGGGGUGAAGUCGUAACAAGGUA
rnacentral:rRNA from 1 species